AUUAAGAAGAAGUCACCAGAACAUUGCAAUUGGUUCCCGUCACUUCCGUAAAUUCCCGCUAAGCUAGGAAGUUUGUUGCUCGAGGUAGUAUUGUGGGUGAGCCCUAUCCUAACCUGCCUGCUUGUCCCAACCUUAGCAGCACCUACCUUAUUAUCUCGACAAACCCCUCCCGCAGAUUGUGCCUCGUUCCCAGCCGUUAGAAAGAAUGUAGUAGAGAACGAGGGCAAAUCACG